CGGCCGGCCGGCGGGGCCCUCGCCUCGGGGUGCCCGGUGGCGAACGGUCCCGGCGCUUUGGUACCACCAAAAAAAGAUGCUCUCUAUGAAUAGAGAGAGCGCCUAUUUACUCUGAAAUAUUUGGCACAGCGGCCGGAGUCUGAAGCGUGGAAGAAGUGGCUAUUAUUUUCCCACUGCGUGUGUGCAGCUGUCAUUUCUGAGCAACACGUUCCUCGCAUAUCCCUGCUUCCCAACCUUGCUGAUGGUCCACCCCAGGAUCGCAACAAGAAGAGGCUGGCAUGCCACCGCACUCAGCCAAAACCUUAACGCUGUGGUUUGUAUUUGACCGAACCCAAGACCUAAGCAUUGUGGCUUGUAUUGAAUCAUUGCAGAUAACUGUUAUGGUUUUCUUUUUCUUUUUUUUUUUUUUUUGUUUUUAACCAGGAGAAUGGUUCUUCCCCCACCCCCCCAUGUAUCAUUUGAAUAUUCAGUGAUGUCAUGUUGUUUGACCUCCGCUUUAACGCAAGGAAUGCCAGCGUUUUGGCUUUUGACCUGUAGAAGUAUGUUAGUGUUUAAUGAGAGAGACCGGCUUAAUGCAUCUUAUUAGGCAAACUGAAAUCUGAUGGACAUCUUAAAAAGAUACCAUCUUUUGCAUGGAGGCUUUCUCCCACUGCCAUACCCCCCUUCUUUCCAUCCUUCCAUAUGUAGGCAUACUUCCACGCUAUGAUACAGCAAUAUGUAUGCACCGGAUUCUUGAGGGAAAAAGAAACAUUUUCAUGUAAAGCCUCAGUAGGAUAUAUUGUACUGUAAAACUGUUAUUUAUAUUCUGCCAGCACUGUACUUUGGCUGGUAAAGUCAUUUGGAUGUCAUUUCUUCUACUUGAAACUCUCCAUUAAAAGAAAUUAAAUUGGCUCUGAAAGAAAAAAAAUAAUCCCAGUAGAACAGUUAUGGUAAACAAUGUAUGUUCCCAUACCCAUGAGGCCUCCUGAAAUCUGUAUUUACUUGAAGGACUCCAAUGGCCUCAGUGCUGGGUAAAUAAUAUGUGUACCAAACUAUGUAUGACAUGCAUACCAAAAUGCAAAUGUAACCAGGUAAACAGAAUGCCUUUUUUAAAUGCCUAAAUAUGGUAGGAGAACAUCAGAGAGAGAGAGAGAGGCUCUAGACAUGUUUUAUAACUUUCCAUGUAAGAGGUUUUUUCAGAGAAACAAUUUUAUUAAACAAAACCUAAGAAUCUCACUGACAGAAAAAGUAUGUUUAAAAGUAACAAACCACCAGAAAGCCAGGAAAUCCAAAAUUAAAGGAUAAAUCUGUCCUAAGUCCUCACACUGCGGGCCAAGUGCAGCAAGCCCCAUCCACUUGCUGCCCUGAGAAAAAAGACUUAAAUAGGCAUUUGGACUUCAGAACUAAUUCUGGUCUUGGACCACUGUGAAUCCGGCAUUAGCCCACUGAAUUACAAGUUGUACCAGCCCACGAAAGUGGGUAAGAAUCACAGUCCAUCAGGUUUUGCCUUUUUGUCAUUUUGGUUUCUGUGCUGUUAGGUGUGACUCAUCGGGUACCUCAUUUGUGCAUGUGUAUGUACGCACAGGGGUGAAGGGAACCUGGAAGCAAAGGUGGUUCUUUCAGAGUCCAAUCAGUCUUCAGCUUAUCCUUUCUGAUGACAAUGUGUCAUGGGUUGGAGAAGUACGUCUUGGCGUUGAUGCAUAAAAUGGUUAAAAUGCACUAAUUUUGACUUCCAUGCAGAUGUUUAUACAGCACAUGCUUUUAAGAUAGUAUAUUUUUUCUGCUGAAACUAGGAAUUCAGUACACUGGCCUUGCAGACUUGUUUACACAGCUAUAUACGGUAUGUGUGUGUCUACAUCAGCUUCAGUUGGUAUAGUUCCUUUGGUGAAGUCUUGUAAAAUGUACAGGUGUGGAUAUGCUACAUUCCUCUCUUGUGUUUUUCCUUCUUUUUUUUCCUCCUUCCCCCCCAAAAGUCACUUGAUCAGGUAUCAGACAUACUGAAAACCUGGCAAGACUACAGGAAAGUGGCUAGACUUGGAGUGUUUGUGUACUUAAAGAAAGAAUCUUGCACAUUUUCAACUUUCAGUCACAGAUAUUUUUUUAUAAGAGCAAUUGGAGGUCUGAGCCAGCCCUCAAAGCGGAAAUCAAAAGCUCCCAGAGAAACAUACCCGAGGAAUGUGAAUCUGAUCCAACAACCAUACGCAAUGCACAUACAGUACUGUCAGUCUUAUAGGAAGUCUUGCCAUAUAUGGACAUCUGGACCCUGAGCUGUUUAUCAUCGUGAUAGGCUUGUAGCUGGCUUCAGACAUUUCUGGCUUGCCUCAGGUUUAGUAUGCCAAUUAGUUCCUUUCCCAAAAUGCUCACCAGGAUAUUUCUUAAAAAUUGUAAUAAAUAUAUCUCAAAAUCCUGAGAGGUCUAGUUAAAGUUACGUUAGUAGGCUUUUGCUUAAAAUGCAGAUUCCAAGCAAGACUUACUCUACUAGCUCAGAAAUAGACACAGAAUAAAAAUAAAGAGAUCUAUUCCAUCAUGAA